rnacentral:lncRNA from 1 species
AGUGGGCGGGGCCAGUAGGGAUCAGUAUGGACCAGUUCAUCCCAGUUCAAACCAGUCCCAUCCCAGUAAGGCCCAGUCCAUCCCAGUCCAUCCCAGUAAAGCCCAGUUCCAUCCCAGUAAGGUCCAGUCUAAUCCCAGCUCAUCCCAGUUCAAACCAGUUCAAACCAGUUCAAUCCCAGUUCCCUCCCAGUUCA